rnacentral:tRNA from 1 species
GGUGGGUUAGCUCAGUGGUUAGUGCUUAGGCCUUGUGCCCGAAAGGUCCUGGGUUCAAAUCUCGCCUGAGAGAUUCCCCA